rnacentral:tRNA from 1 species
GGCGUCGUGGCCGAGUGGUUAAGGCGACAGUACUUGAAAUCUGUUGGGCUCUGCCCGCACAAGUUCGAAUCUUGUCGGCGACG